rnacentral:rRNA from 1 species
GACGAACGCUGGCGGCGUGCUUAACACAUGCAAGUCGAACGGUGAAGCUCCAGCUUGCUGGAGUGGAUCAGUGGCGAACGGGUGAGUAACACGUGAGCAACCUGCCCCUGACUCUGGAAUAAGCGCUGGAAACGGCGUCUAAUACUGGAUACGAGAAGGGCCCGCAUGGGCACUUUCUGCACAGUUUUUCGGUUGGGGAUGGGCUCGCGGCCUAUCAGCUUGUUGGUGAGGUAAUGGCUCACCAAGGCGACGAAGGGUAGCCGGCCUGAGAGGGCGACCGGCCACACUGGGACUGAGACACGGCCCAGACUCCUACGGGAGGCAGCAGUGGGGAAUAUUGCACGAUGGGCGAAAGCCUGAUGCAGCGACGCCGCGUGAGGGAUGACGGCCUUCGGGUUGUAAACCUCUUUCAGCAGGGAAGAAGCGAAAGUGACGGUACCUGCAGAAGAAGCACCGGCUAACUACGUG